AUGCCUUACCCUAUUUCUGUCACUCACAUUUCCUUCCCUCUGUGCUGCUCACCUCCUUGUGAAGCCUUAAAUAUCUCUUUUGCUUCAUCUCACUGUUCAUUAGGAUAUUUAGGCAUCUUCCAGCUACUCCAUCUGGGGUUUUUAAUUGGAACAAGGAUGCCUGAGGGUGAAAAGAGGAAAAGAGAAGACGAGGGAGCAAAAGAUUCCCUUGAGUGGAGUGAGCCUUUCCCCCAGCAGAAGAACACCCUGGUUGACCCCUGUGUGCCUCUUGCCCUGGUGCAGAGAAGAUUGGACCAGAAGCAAAUGCUGAAGAGGGAGCUCAUCAUUAUUCUCUCUUCUAAAAGAAGAGAAAAUUGAGGGACAGCAGCCUUGAUCUUAUUGAGAAGAAGAUUGAAGCGAAAGACAAGGAGAUCUUAAGAUUGAUCAAACUACAAAGGCAGAGGAGACUUGAAAAAAAGAAGUGCACCAGAGAGCCAUCAAGUACACUGAAGUAAUUUGUGAUGGAUGUCUGACUGACCUGAACCUUGGCUGCUGCUUGGUUUUCUUUGCCAUUCCUUCCUAAGGCGUGUUUUUAUGGCUUUUGAUGCAAAUGGAAGCUUCUCUGCCCUUUCAUGUGGAGACACCUGCCCUAUUGCAAGGUAGAAAUCAUCUGGCCCAUGUCUACAGCUUCUUUUCUUGAGCUGAAGUCCUCUCCUUGCAUAACUACUUCUGAUCAGAUGACACUAAGCCAUUUUCAGUUGUAAGCGUUUGGAGCUGGGGUUUGUGUUAUACAGCUCUAAUGAAGUAGAUUUUUUCCCCCCCACAAAAUGGAAUAUUCAUUCUAUGUGAAGACUAUAGGUACCAUUUCAAUAACAACCAUUUAAAAUGUAACAUUUAUUAAACUGUGAAUGGUUCAGAACUUGGUUCAGCUGCGUUCCUGGCGUUGCUCAUGCAGUGAGCACUAUUAAGCAUUUUGAAAACAAACUCAAUCUAGUAUUUCCUAGUGUGCUUCUCCUAUGAAAACUGAUUUAAGCCAGUGCUACUGGGAUAUUACUGGGAAAUACUCCAUCAGUUUAAUUUUCCAAAGAGUGAGUUUGUUUAAAAUUUAAGGAGCAUUUUCAGAAAUCCUCCUAUAAUGAUUGUAGUAUCAACACAACACCUCAGUGAGAUACAAGAUGGAAAGCAGCUUCUGCUUUCUCAAGAUGUGCUUUCUCACAUGUCCUGUAGGACCAGCUUGUUUUCAAGAUCUGUUACUGGUUGUACUGUAGCUCCCAGCGCAGUUUAAAACUCCCUUCUUUUCCAGAUGUGCCCAUUCUGUGUUUGAAGCAAGCAGGGUUUGGGCUUUGUGUCCUUGUCAGUUGUGCAAACACAGCUGGAUUGGAGAGGACAGUUCAAUGUUCCCACUCUUUGGUUUCCCAGAGAAGUCAAAGAUAAUGAUAGGGGAAUGCUGCCUUAAUUUAGGUUUUAUUGGAGCCAACCUACCACUUUGUAACCACUACAGACAGAGCUGUGCUCUCCCACUGAUCCCAGCAGUGUGCAAUCCCCUAAUUAUCCCCUAUCAAUGGACAACUUCCCAUGGAGAUCAAGGAGGCACUGAAGAACUGCAGAGGAGUACCUAUUUAUCCUUUCAAAGACCUUCUAAGAGAGGGAAAGGAAGCUCUGGGCUGCUCUCCCAUUAGUUGCCCCAGGAGGGUGGGGAUACUUCCCCUUUUGGUGAACUCCUUAGCACAAGGGAGUAAAUGCAUCAUCUUCUCUUUAGGAACAAGGUCUUGCUUUCAUUUGUUUCCUCCUGUUAUAUGUGAACCAAUUUAUUCCUGAUGCAUUUUGUCUCUUUCUAGUUAGCUUUGUGUCUUGUCUUUAAUGCACUGUGAUUAAUGUUGGUUCUUUUGUAUUCCUCAGCCAUGUAAACUUGUUUUUGACAUAUGAUUUAUGUUUCUUUCUGUUUUCAAGUGCCUCUUUCUGGCACAGCCGUGAUGGUCUUGCUAUGCAUUCUGUUCCUCUCUAUCAGAAGAAAAGCUGUUUUGCUUAAAAUAAUUAUGUAUGUAUAUACACAUGCUUUUUUUUUCUUGGACUGCUUUAAUCCACAGUGUUAUUUAUUACUCCCAUAUGUCAAAUUCUCAAUUGCUUCUCUUCUAUUCUUCUGUUAGACAAGACUGGAACAGAAAUAACCCUCCUCUAGUAAAUUCUCUGAAUUUAUUUUUUUGGUAGCUCCAAGUGCUUAGGGAAGUUUAUCCAGAUAUUAUUCCAUUGAAUUCCAAGUGGUCAGUGUGGUUUUGUGCUGCCUUAUCAACAUAUCUAGAUGAAAUUCUGGGCCCUGUGCAUGAGUGGCUUCUUUUCAUGGUGAUAGUAAAUAGUGACAUCACCCUCGGGGUUUUAUUUUUCCUUUUUUUAAUUUGGUCUUUUUUCCUCAUUUCACAUUGAAUUACACUUGGAAUUUAAGGUAAUAAAUUUGUGUGCUCUUCCUACA
ensembl:lncRNA